AGGAGGAACAACUGCAGUGGCGGGGCCAGCUCUGGAAACCUGGAUACAGCUCCUACAGUAACUAUUAGGAGCUUUCUGUCUGCGGGGCCUGGAAGCUCCGGGGCGGG
rnacentral:pre_miRNA from 1 species